GUGAUCAUAUCCUACAGUGUGAAGAGUACUACACCAGUGUGAGGUAUGGUUAAGGAGCUUCUGUGGGAAGUCUGCAGCAGGGCUUGAUGGUUAUCACCCUUUGACCUUUCCACUCACAAAGGUACAGCUGUGCUACAAACUGAGACCCAGCGUCAAAAAGCCAAAGGGCACAGUGGAACACACCUGCAAUCCCAGCACUUAGGAGGCAGAGGCAGAAGGACUGCCGUACAUGGGACUCAGCAUGGCUGCCAGCGUUCUAUUUGGAAUUUCCUCCUGGUGAGGAAGAGGCACUGAGCCGCAGCCACUGUGUAGGUGCUCGGCAGUGCCCACUGGCCUGUGGUGACCCUGACAAGUGGGCACUGGUGCUGGAGUGGGCACCAGCCCUGAACAGCAGCAGCGACUUCCAAAUACCCACUCUUCCUUCACAUCCUGUUGCCACCUCCAGUGUUCAGAGAUGUCACCGCCUGCCUGACAAACAGGGAGCUGAGCCACCAAUCAACACAGCUGAAGCAGGGAAAACAGUAAGGUUCCCUAUCGGGAGGAGCAAUCUGGCCAAGAGAAA